GUCUACAGCCAUACUACCCUGAACGCGCCCGAUCUCCUGAUCUCGGAAGCUAAGCAGUGUUGGGCCUGGUUAGUACUUGGAUGGAGACCGCCUGGGAAUACGGUGCUUAGGCU
rnacentral:rRNA from 1 species